rnacentral:rRNA from 1 species
UACGGGGGGGGCAAGCGUUGUUCGGAAUUACUGGGCGUAAAGGGCUCGUAGGCGGCCAACUAAGUCGGACGUGAAAUCCCUCAGCUUAACUGGGGAACUGCGUCUGAUACUGGAUGGCUUGGAUUUGGGAGAGGGAUGCGGAAUUCCAGGUGUAGCGGUGAAAUGCGUAGAUAUCUGGAGGAACACCGGUGGCGAAGGCGGCAUCCUGGACCAACAUUGACGCUGAGGAGCGAAAGCCAGGGGAGCAAACGGG